CUCUUUCUUUAUGGAUGGCAAACAGCGUUCAGAUGACAGAUUUUGGAAAAUUGUCUUAGGAGACGCAUUCUCAGGCAGUUCCAGUGUAUUGGUAUUUUGGAUGUUUCUCUGCAUUUUGUCAUACGGUUCAGAAGGGUGAUAGGCUUUCUGUGAACUGCUGGGCUUCAAGAAGGCUAUUAUCUUCCACUCAGGUUUAAUGGAGGAAUUUAUGGGAUUUUGCCACCUUGUGAGGUUCAGUGCUAGAAUUUCUGCGUUGGAUGGAUCAAGAAUCUACGGGGAGCCAAGUCACUUAAAAGUAUCAGUUAUUCCCAAUAUUCCCUUCAUCUAAUGAAGUUCCUCCAAAUUUCAUGAUCCUUGUGACAAUCCACCCCAGACUAUGGUGAGAGACCCAGAGCUGCAGCAGUUUUGGUUGUGGUUAUUCUGACAUUGACCCGAAGGGAGCAAGAAUGUUUCUCAGGAGCCCUUGCCUGGACUCCCCUUCCAGACCACAACUUCCCCGGUGAUAUGGGACCCUGGAGGAGGAAGUCUACAAUGUGGGAGAGAUGAGUUACCAGGAAGAUAACCUUUGCACUCAGAAGGCUUGCGAACCCCAGAGGAGACUGUCUGUCUGAGAGAUCACCUUACCCACACUGUGGAAUAAAAAUAUUGCCUCUGACAUUAGGGAACUGGCAUUCCCCUCCUCCACUGUUUGAAAAGGUCAGAACUGGUCCUUCAAGCCAAAUAAGUUACUGCUUUUGAGGUGAAGCUGGUAAGACAGAUCUGGGGCCUGCAGGCAAAGUGGGUUCAGUUUCCGUUUGUAGUCAAGGCAACUUCUUCCAAAAGAGGCUUUCAACCUGCCUGGGCUUCUAGGCCCAGUUGAGAUCCAGUGUGACUCACAGGUUAUAACUAGUGGACCUUCCAUCCUCACGGAGCCUUGGCUACACCUACCACUUGGCCUGGGUCAGAAAUAAAACAAAAACUAAAACGAACAAACAAACAAACUUAAAAACAUAAAGGUAGAGAAAGAAAGAAAACCACCUCAGUUUGAAUCUGGGGUUGUCAUGUCUAGCUGUAUGACGUUGAGCAAGUCACUCGACUUCUCUGAGCCUCAGUUUCCACAGAUUAUAGGGCUGAGUGAGAUGAGGUUGUGACGGUGUUUGCACACUACAUUGGACAAGGGGCUGAGCAUCAUCAUAUGGCCAAAAGCCUGACAAACAACACUGGUCCCCACACAAGCAACUCUGGUCCCUCCUGAACCCACACCAAGCCAAGUGUUCUCCCUGUGGCAGAGCACCCGUGCACAAGAGACCUGGGUAGCUGGAAUCAAGCACAGACUUUAAACAGAUCUUCAUGGUCACCUCACCCCUGAUGGUGAGCAUCCACAGGAAAAAGAUUGGUCCCAGGUAAGACAAGAGGGAAGCAAAGUCCUUUAUCUUCUUAGUUCCCCCUAAAAUACCCACCCCAGGUGCCCUGAUUUUGUGAAGAAGAGGCCCUCAAAAGGUGAGUCUUCCCCUAUCUUAGACCCAGGGGUCUAGGCCUCUCUUGUGGUUCUCUCUCUCUUUUAUUGCUUUCACAUUUAUAUGACAACUUGUCCUCUCAAAACUUCAUUUCUUAUUUAGUAAAACAUCCUUAAUGCAGCCUUCCAGAACUGUCUCUUCAUUUUUCCAAAUGAUCCAUUCCCCUAAUUAGAUUAAUUAAUCUAUGCUAAUGCUAAGGAAAGAGUCACAUUCACCGUGAUACACUAGAAACAGGAUGGGCUUCAAAUGCAGAAAAUCCUAGGUUCAAAUCCUAUUUCUGCUUCUUAGGAGCUGUGAGACUUUUAACUUACUUAAUUUACAUACAUUUACUUAUGUAACAGGCAAUAAUGUAGCGUUUGCUGUGCGCUGUGUUCUGUUCAAGAAACUUUAACGGUGGUUCUUUUUAAGAAGAGUUUUAAUUCAUCUAAUCCUUUUAACGAUCCUAUGGGGGUAGGUACUAUUGUAUUUCACAGUUGAGGAAACCAAAACACAGAGAGGCAAAGUACUUUGCAUGAUAUUUCAGAGCUAGGGAGGAGGCAAAAUGGGGAUUUGAAGCUGGGCGGUCCAGCUCAUGCUGCUAAGUACAACGCCACGCUGUCUCUUAGCUCGAGCUGGCUCAACUAAGCAAAGGAGGGGUGCAUUCUCUUUGCAGUGUUGCUGGAAUUAGAGAUGAUGUGUAUGUCACAUAGCACAGGGCCUGUUCUCUACUCAGCUCUCAAUAGUGGCAAAUUAUAUCUCCCUUGAGUUUUCUCUUAUUCUUUCCGUCACUCUGAAUCACAUUUGUCGGUUCCUUCUUUUCUCCCCUGAUUUAACUCUGGAGUAUCAAAGGGCUUGGUUUGUAGCUCCAUCUUCUCCAGGUCGUGAAUUUAAAUACUAUUCAUUUCUAUCCGGACAACUCCCAAAUUCAUAUCUUUAGCUCAGAUCUGAUCUGUCUCCUGAACAUUAAUUUGUGUCUGUAUAAUUGCCUACUUGACAUUCCCACUUGGUUUCUAAUAAAUAUCUCAAAUGGACUAUAUCCAAACCUGUGAACACUCACAGCCUUCCACAUCUCAGUUGACAGCAACUCCAUCCUUUCAGUUGUUCAGUGCAAAAUUCUUUAAUACAUUCUCUGUUACAGGUAGGAUUGCAUCCUGCAAGAAGAUGCUGAAGUCCUACCCCCUAGUACCUGUGAAUGUGAGAUCGGGUCUCAUAUUCACAAAAUGUGGUACAGAGACACAAUGAAAUACUAAGCAACCGGCUGGGCAUGGCGGCCCAUGCCCAUAACCCCAGCACUUUGGGAGGCUGAGGAGGCAGAUCACCUGACGUCAGGAGUUGGAGACUAGCUUGGCCAACGUGGCAAAACCCCACCUCUACUAAAAAUACAAAAACUAGCCGGGCAUGGUGGUGCUUGCCUGUAAUCACAGCUACUCGGGAGGCUGAGGCACAAGAAUGGCUUGAACCUGGGAGGUGGAGUUUGCAGUGAGCCAAGAUUGUGCCACUGUGCUUCAGCCUGGGCAACAGAGUGAGACCCUGUCUCAAAAAACAAUGGUCAUAUUAAAAUGAGGUCAUUAGGGUAGGCCUAAUCCCAAUAUGACUGAUGUCCUUAUAAAAAGGGAAUUCUACACACAGACAGGCAAACAGAGAGAGAAGACAUUGUGAACACACAGGGAGAAUGCCGGCUACAAGCAAAGGAAUGCCUGAGCCUACUAGAAGCAAGGAGAGUAGCCGUCAGAAGAAACCAACCUUGCUGACACCUUGAUUUUCGACUUGUAGCCACUAGAACUGUCAGACAAUAAUUUUCUAUCAUGUAGGCCACCCAGUUUGUGGUACUUUGUUAUGGCAGACCAAGGAAACACAUGUAUCCUCCAUUUCUGUCUUACAUUCCAUAUGCAGUCUUUUAGCCUUUCUUGUUGGUUCCGGCUUCCAUAUUUAUCCACAAGUGUCUGCUCACCCCCUCCUCUGCUACCACUGCGCACUGUGCCUGAGUCCCUCCAUCUCUCACCUGGCUCCCUGCAGUAGCUGCCUAACCAGUCCCCCUGCUUGUACCUUGGUCUCCUCACAACCUACUUCCAACAUGGUAGCCAGAGUGGUGCUCUUAAAACAGUAGUAACUGCACUCAGAUGUUUAUCGCAGCACUAUUCAAAACAGCAAAGUCAUGGAACCAACCUAAGUGUCCACCAACAGUUAACUGGAUAAACAAAAUGUGGCACAUAGACACAGUGAAAUACUAAGCAAUCGGCCGGGCAUGGUGGCUCAUGUAUGUAAUCCCAGUACUUUAGGGGGCUGAGGAGGGCAGAUCACCUGAGGUCAGGAGUUGGAGAACAGCUUGGCCAACAUGGCGAAACCCUGUCUCUACUGAAAAUACAAAAAUUAGCCAGGCUUGGUGGUGCUUGCCUGUAAUCGCAGCUACUCGGGAGGCUGAGGCACGAGAAUAGCUUGAACCUGGGAGGUGGAGGUUGUAGUGAGCUAAGAUUGUGCCACUGCACUCCAGCCUGGGCAACAGAGUGAGACCCUGUUUCAAAAAAAAAAAAAAAAAAAAGAGCUACUCCACAACCAUAAAGCGAAUGAAUCAUGUCCUUUGCGGCAACAUGGAUAGAACUGGAGGCCAUAAUCUUAAGUGAACUAACUCAUCAGCAGAAGAUCAAAUAUCACAUGUUCUUACACAUAAGUGGGAACUCAACAGGACAUAAAGAUGGAACUAAUAGACACCGGGAACUCCAAAAGCAGGGAGGAUGGGAAGGGAGUGAGGUUUGAAAAAUUACCUAUCGGUUACAAUGUUCAAUAUUUGGGUGAUGGGUACACUUGAAGCCAAUUACACUCUCCACCAUUACAUAUGUAAUACCCAUGGAACAAACAAGCACAUCUACCUCCUGAAUCUAUAAUUUUAAAGAAAGAGGGUGGGGGAAGAAGUAAGAUCAUAUCAGUUCUGCUCAGUGUUUGUCACUGGUAGUAAAUGUAUUCCACUUAGAGUGAAAAGCCAAAGCCUUUACAUAGCCAAGGAGCCUCGAUGGUCUGACUUUGAACCCGUUAUUCCACUGACCACGUUGCUGCUUCCCUCUUGCUCAUUCAGCUUGUGCCACAUUGAUUCUUUUUUUGUUUGUUUGUUUGAGAUGGAGUCUCGCUCUGUUGCCCAGGCUGGAGUGCAGUAGCGCAAUCUCGGCUCACUGCAACCUCCUCCUCCUGGGUUCAAGCGAUUCUCCUGCCUCAGCCUCCUGAGUAGCUGGGAUUACAGGCAUGCACCAGCAUGCCUGACUAAUUUUUGUAUUUUUAGUAGAGAUGGGGUUUCACCAUGUUGGUCAGGCUAGUCUCGGACUCCUGACCUCAAAUGAUCCACCCGCCUUGGCAUCCCAAAGUGCUGGGAUUACAGGUGUCAGCCACUGCACCUGGCCGGCAUUGAUUCAUUUUUGCUAUUUGACCAUACCAGGCACUCUUGCCUUACGGCUAUCAUGAGAACACAGCUCAUAGCUCCCAGCUGUGUGCUACCCAUGCCAAGAUUAUGCUCCUACCCAGCCAAUGACUGAGACAAGCCAUUUCUUCCGCAUGCAGGACUCCUUGAAUGAGCAGUCUCUACUGAGUGGCUCCCCACUGGUCUGUCUGAGGCCAUCUCAGAGCUGCAGUACAGUCUGAGGCUCUUGCUGACCAAGCUUCCUUCCUUCCCUCUCUCCUUUCACAGGGAGUAGGCCGGCAUUAUGGUUUGCAGGCUCUCCCAGCCUACCCCUGCCGGUGUCCCCUUUAUUUGACAUGGGCAUUGCCCUCUAUGUUGUUGCUGUUUUCUCCAAAUGCUUCUUCUCCAGUUAUCUCCUGGGAUAACUCUACUUCUCCUUCAAGCCUUUGCUUAAACAUCAUCUUCCUAGUGAGACCUACCCUGAGCUCCAUUGACUGUAUUCUACUUAUUUUAUUCAUAUUUAUUUUUAGCUCUAGGGCCUGGCUCUGUCACCCAGGCUGGAGUGCAGUGGCACAGUCAUGGCUCAGUUCAGCUUUCAACUCCUGGGCUCAAGCAAUCCUCUUGCCUCAGCUUCCUGAGUAGCUUGGAUUACAGGCAUGCAUUACUGUGCCCAGCUAAAUAGUCUUAUUUAUUUUUUUUCUUGUAGAGACAGGGCCUCACUAUGUUUCCCAGGCUAGUCUCAAACUACUAUGUUUCCCAGGCUAGUCUCAAACUCCCAGCCUCAAGCGAUCCUCCUGCUUCAAUCUCCCAAAGCUGGGAUUGCAGGCCUGAGGCCCAGCCAUUUAAAACAGCAUUCCGUCUCCGUUUUCUCUGCUCUGGUUCUUUUGCUCAGGGUCCUUUUUUUCUGCUUGUCAGUUUCUAACUUGUUAUAAUUUACUUAGUUGUCAUGCUUACUGUUUGUUUUCUAUCCACCCUAGAUACCAGAGGUAGAAUCUUCAUCCUUUGUUCACUGAUGCCACCCAAGCACCUAGACCAGCGAUGGCAAAUUUAAAACAUUUAAAAAUUGAUGCCUUCCAGUUGUUUGCACACAUUUAGAAUUUUACUGCAUAUGUUAUAAGAGGAAGGAUCUAAAAAUAAAUUAUUAUUCUUUCAAUGAUGUCAGGUUUUUAAUUUUGAUGUUGCACCAUUCCUGUCAAUAUUAUAACAUAUAAAAGCCCUGGCUGUCAUUCUUAUGGUCCAUUUAUAGCUUUUGAUUCCAGUUUUGUCAAUAAAGUGCCGCUCCACUUGGCCUAUUAAUGGACUAGAUUCAUACCUCAAGGUCUGCUUAACACCUCCACUGCAGUCAGGGAUUUUUUUUUUGGCAAAACCAAGUUUUUUGUCUUGUAAAGAGCAAGUGAUCAAUUAAUGUGUAUAACAAUGUGUAAUGAAUAGGAAUCCCAAUCCACAGACUCAAGUGAGCUUAGAAUACUGCAUUUCCUUAUUUUCUGUAGAUCAACUUAAUCCUGAAUCCAACACAUGUUGUCCCUGGGAUCUGGAAAUUCAAUCUCGGUCAAGAUUGUGUGACUUACAAUGGAUUCAGGUGCUGAGGAGUUCCCUGCAAUCACUGGGCACCAGUCAAAGAUACUGCCCAGGUCAUGUUGUCUCCACAUGUCUCUGGUCUCUGUGACUUGGAGAAUUUUUAGGGAGACUGGAGUUCAUUGCUAAGAGUUCAGCCUCCCUAAAGUGUCAUCUAGCCAUCUUCUUUAGGAUCUUUCUGGGGAACACAAACUCAUAUUUCAAGGUUAGCAUUUUAAUAAGUUAUCUUGCUUCUAAUAAUGGAGGAAUGAGUUUGAAUUUUUUUUUUUUUUUUUUUUGGACAAGGAGGUCUCACUCUGUCAUCCGGGUUGGAGUGCAGUGGCAUGAUCUGACCUUGACUUGCCUUGACUGCACUGCAGCCUUGACCUCUCUGGCUCGAGUAAUCCUCCCACCUGAGCAUCCCAAGUAGCUGGGACUACAGGCAUGCACCACCAUGCCUGGCUAAUUUUUAUAUUUGUAGAGACGGGGCUUUAUCUUGCUGCCCAGGCUUGUCUCCAACUCCUGGGCUCAAGCCAUCUGCCUGCCUGAUCCUCCCAAAUUGCUGGGAUUGCAGAUGUGAGUCACCACAUCUGGCCCGUUCUUUAUUACAGAGAGAUGUUAAGCUAUUUUCUCUCUCAACUAAGUCUCUGGAAAGUAGUUUCCCAUACCUUUUAUCUCAAUUUCCUCUGUAGCAUGAAGAGAAAAAAAAAAAACUGAUGCAGUUUGCUAAGUAAUCUUCCUGAAUGGAACCAUAAGUCAUAUACCAAUAUGGUAGGAGAGACGUUGCCGAUAUUAUUAUGGUCAAAUUAAUUCAAUUAGCUCAGACUGACAUGCUUCUCAGUGGCUAUGUCAACUUUCCCAUCCCUGGCCAGGUGCAGUGGUGCAUGACUGUAAUUCCAGUGCUUUUGGGAUGCCGAGGCAGGAGGAUCGCUUGAGUCCAGGACUUUGAGACCAGCCUGGACAACACAGCAAAGAUCCAUCUCUACAAACAUUUUUUAAAAAUUAACAGGGCAUGGUGGUGCAUGCCUGUGGUCCUACGUACUAGAGAGGCUGAGGUGGGAGGAUUGCUUGAGCUCAGGAAUUUGAGGUUACAGUGAGCUAUGAUCAUGCCACUGCACUCCAACCUGGGAGACAGGGUGAGACGCUGUCUCCAAAAACAAAACCAAAACCAAAACCAAAUACCCAACAACUUCCCCAUCCCUGGACUUUCUGUUUUAUGACGAAUAAGAGGGUAGAACUAUAUUAAGUUAGUAUGUCCAAAGUCUCUUAAGCAUUACUCUGCCAUGAAUUUUUCUAGAUUUGGCUGCACCAUGAUUUUGGAUGUGGAUCAUGUUUUGUUUUCCCUGCUUUUUCUCACUCUCUCCUCUUCCUCCCUCCAUUUUUUGUCUGUUUCUUUCUUUAACAAAUAUUUUUGAGAGCCUACUACAUGCCAAGCACCAUGCUAGGUACAGAGUAUGAAGGGGCAAACAGAACAGACCUAAUUCCUGCUUGCCUGGAGCUUAUUCUGUUCUUUCCAAUCCCAUUCCUGAUUUAAAAACAUUAUCUGUUGUGUUGGAUAAUAAAUGCUCAUUUUGUGACGGUCUUAUAUAUUUCCUGAAUAUCACUAAAAAUUACCAAUAAUUGGACUGGGCUCAGUGGCUUAGGCCUAUAAUCCCAGCGCUUUGGGAGCUCGAGGCGGGAGGAUCACUUGAGCCCAGGAGUUCGAGGCUGCAGUGAGCAGUGAUCGCACCACUGCACUCCAGCCUGGACAAUAGAGUGAGACCCCUUCUCUGAGGAAAAUGAAAAAUAAACCAGCCAAUAUUGGAACUGUAGCAUGAAAAAAAGCUUAAUAAAAAUCUUUCCUAGUUGCAUGGCACUUAUUGUAGGACAUGUAUUUGCAGCUCACAAAAAUAUCAUUUAUUUUUAUUUAUUUUGAAUUCCCCAGAUACAUGGUAUGAAACAAACCCAG
rnacentral:lncRNA from 1 species